AGAGAGAGACAUGCGCGCAUAUCAAUAAGCGGAGGAAAAGAAACUAACAAGGAUUCCCUUAGUAACGGCGAGUGAAGCGGGAAGAGCUCAAAUUUGAAAUCUUCAAGGUUUUACCUUGACGAAUUGUAGUUUAAAGAAGUGUUUUCUGCUGAAGUUUUGGUAAAAGUUCUUUGGAAUAGGACAUCAUAGAGGGUGAGAAUCCCGUAUUUGACCAUUAUUUUCAGCUUUGUGAUACACUUUCAAAGAGUCGGAUUGUUUGGGAAUGCAGUCCAAAAUGGGUGGUAAAUUUCAUCUAAAGCUAAAUAUUGGCGAGAGACCGAUAGCGAACAAGUACCGUGAGGGAAAGAUGAAAAGAACUUUGAAAAGAGAGUUAAACAGUACGUGAAAUUGUCAAAAGGGAAGCGUUUGACACCAGUGUUGUUUUCUCGAAAAUCAAUUAAAAAAUGGCUAGAUUUUGUAUUGCUGAUUGACCUUUAUCAGCUUUCAUGCUACAUCUUUUCGUGUCUUUUUUAAUGCACUUUUCGUUUAACAAGUCAACAUCAGUUUCUUUUGUUGUAAAAGGGUCAUUGGAAGGUGGCUUUCUUUUCGGAGAAAGUGUUUAUAGCCUUUGGCCUCUGCAAUCGAAGAGACUGAGGUCUGCAGCGUAGACUCUUCGGGGUUAGAUACAUUUGUGCUAAGUUAUAGCUUUUUAUAGACAACUUGUUGACUAUAAUUAGUCUUGUAGCUUACUCGCUUAUGCUAUUUUACCUACGCUUAGGAUGUUGAAGAUGUAGCACAUCAU
rnacentral:rRNA from 1 species